GAUCUUCAGACACCUAACGUAUAUACACAAUAUCCGUCAACUUUUAAAAGACGGAUAUUGUGUAUAUACGUUAGGUGUCUGAAGAUC